rnacentral:rRNA from 1 species
CAGCAGCCGCGGUAAAACGUAGGUGGCAAGCGUUGUCCGGAAUUAUUGGGCGUAAAGGGCUCGCAGGCGGUUUCUUAAGUCUGAUGUGAAAGCCCCCGGCUCAACCGGGGAGGGUCAUUGGAAACUGGGAAACUUGAGUGCAGAAGAGGAGAGUGGAAUUCCACGUGUAGCGGUGAAAUGCGUAGAGAUGUUGAGGAACGCCAGUGGCGAAGGCGACUCUCUGGUCUGUAACUGACGCUGAGGAGCGAAAGCGUGGGGAGCGAACAGGAUUAGAUACCCCCGUAGUCCCUGUCUCUUAUAA